rnacentral:rRNA from 1 species
UACGUAGGGCGCAAGCGUUGUCCGGAAUUAUUGGGCGUAAAGAGCUCGUAGGCGGUGUGUCGCGUCGGCCGUGAAAACCUGCAGCUUAACUGUGGGCUUGCGGUCGAUACGGGCAUCACUGGAGUUCGGCAGGGGAGACUGGAAUUCCUGGUGUAGCGGUGAAAUGCGCAGAUAUCAGGAGGAACACCGGUGGCGAAGGCGGUGCUCUGGGCCGAAACUGACGCUGAGGAGCGAAAGCGUGGGUAGCAAACAGG